GGGUCAGUAGGUUGGUCGUGCCACCGGUACGUACUGAUCUCACUGGGUCCUCCUUCCUGAAGAACCGUAAUGCCAUUAAUUUGGUGUUGCGGGGAAACAGGACUGUUACUUUGAAAAAAUUAGAGUGUUUAAAGCAAGCUAACGCUUGAAUACAUUAGCAUGGAAUAAUGAAAUAGGACGAUCGAUCCUAUUUUGUUGGUUUCUAGGAUUGACGUA
rnacentral:rRNA from 1 species